rnacentral:ribozyme from 1 species
UGCCAAGCAACUCCUAUCCCUACCCCCUCGCGGUACUGGCGAAGAUCGGGUAACCAACCCCCGGUGGGAACUUUGGUCGUAUGCUGACAGGGAAGG